CCUGUACCACCUAUAAUCGUUUUAAUCGAUGGGGGGACGCAGUAGGAUAGGCGAAGCGUGCGAUUGGAUUGCACGUCUAAGCAGUAAGGCUGAGUAUUAGGCAAAUCCGGUACUCGUUAAGGCUGAGCUGUGAUGGGGAGAAGACAUUGUGUCUUCGAGUCGUUGAUUUCACACUGCCGAGAAAAGCCUCUAGAUAGAAAAUAGGUGCCCGUACCGCAAACCGACACAGGUAGUCAAGAUGAGAAUUCUAAGGUGAGCGAGCGAACUCUCGUUAAGGAACUCGGCAAAAUGACCCCGUAACUUCGGGAGAAGGGGUGCUCUUUAGGGUUAACGCCCAGAAGAGCCGCAGUGAAUAGGCCCAAGCGACUGUUUAUCAAAAACACAGGUCUCUGCUAAACCGUAAGGUGAUGUAUAGGGGCUGACGCCUGCCCGGUGCUGGAAGGUUAAGAGGAGUGGUUAGCUUCUGCGAAGCUACGAAUCGAAGCCCCAGUAAACGGCGGCCGUAACUAUAACGGUCCUAAGGUAGCGAAAUUCCUUGUCGGGUAAGUUCCGACCCGCACGAAAGGCGUAACGAUUUGGGCACUGUCUCAACGAGAGACUCGGUGAAAUCAUAGUACCUGUGAAGAUGCAGGUUACCCGCGACAGGACGGAAAGACCCCGUGGAGCUUUACUGUAGCCUGAUAUUGAAAUUCGGCACAGCUUGUACAGGAUAGGUAGGAGCCUUUGAAACGUGAGCGCUAGCUUACGUGGAGGCGCUGGUGGGAUACUACCCUAGCUGUGUUGGCUUUCUAACCCGCACCACUUAUCGUGGUGGGAGACAGUGUCAGGCGGGCAGUUUGACUGGGGCGGUCGCCUCCUAAAAGGUAACGGAGGCGCUCAAAGGUUCCCUCAGAAUGGUUGGAAAUCAUUCAUAGAGUGUAAAGGCAUAAGGGAGCUUGACUGCGAGACCUACAAGUCGAGCAGGGUCGAAAGACGGACUUAGUGAUCCGGUGGUUCCGCAUGGAAGGGCCAUCGCUCAACGGAUAAAAGCUACCCCGGGGAUAACAGGCUUAUCUCCCCCAAGAGUUCACAUCGACGGGGAGGUUUGGCACCUCGAUGUCGGCUCAUCGCAUCCUGGGGCUGUAGUCGGUCCCAAGGGUUGGGCUGUUCGCCCAUUAAAGCGGUACGCGAGCUGGGUUCAGAACGUCGUGAGACAGUUCGGUCCCUAUCCGUCGUGGGCGUAGGAAAUUUGAGAGGAGCUGUCCUUAGUACGAGAGGACCGGGAUGGACAUACCUCUGGUGUACCAGUUGUCGUGCCAACGGCAUAGCUGGGUAGCUAUGUGUGGACGGGAUAAGUGCUGAAAGCAUCUAAGCAUGAAGCCCCCCUCAAGAUGAGAU
rnacentral:rRNA from 1 species